rnacentral:rRNA from 1 species
AGCCAAGUCCGGAAGGGAUAAGCGCUGAAGGCAUCUAAGCGCGAAGCCCCCUCCAAGAUGAGACCUCCCAUUGCGCAAGCAAGUAAGACCCCUCGAAGACGACGAGGUUGAUAGACCGGGAGUGCAAGCAUGGCGACAUGUUCAGCGGACCGGCACUAAUAGGUCGAGGACUUGACCG